AGCGUCCACUCUGCCAGACCAUCUUCAAGAACAAUGCAAUAAAUGCAAAUAUAUUCAGAACUUUUAAUUUUAACAUCUAUUUUUUGCAUGCAAUAAGUAGGUUAAAUUUUAUGAUAUUGAUGAACUGUGGAAACAUUCGCUGCACACCCCUUACUCACAUUCAUGACCAUCAUAGAGUCUGGAGAUAACAAAAUAAUACAUAGGAGACCCUGUCAUUGGGUCAGCCCUUAUCUCAAGGCAAGGAAUGAGAAGGAGAGGUUUUUCACCGACUUCAAAAACUUACGGAAUGAUUCAGCUCGUUUCAUCGAAAAUUUUCAUAUGCCACCAAGUGUAUUCGAUGAGCUUUGGGAGAUACCGCAACCACAUCUGCUUCCAAAGCGGAAUACUAGACCGAACGAUUUCAUUAGCUAAAUUAGCUAAAGCUAAGUUAGCAAUUGUACUAGAGUACUUGGCUUCUGGAUAUAUACAACGCCAUAUUGCCUCCUGCUACCGUAUUAGCAAGCAGCACUUUAGUAGAAUCGUAUCCGAUGUGUGUAAGGGGAUAUGCAGCGUAUUGAAAAAUGAAAUUCCAGAACACUGAAUGAAUGAAAUUGACAGAACACUCGUUGUUGGAGAUAUCGAAUUGCUUUCGAACACAAUGGAAUUUUAUGAACUGUGUCGGGGUUAUCGAUGGCAAACACAUAGCUAUCAAAGCCCCUCCAAAAUCUGGAAGCAUAUUUUAUAAUUACAAAGGAUUCCAUUCUAUUACGUGAAUGUUGGUACUUACGGAAGCAUAGGAGACUCCAAUAUUAUGAAGAAUUUCGAGAUUUGGUAUCAUCAUACUUAAUGACAGCUUUAUUGAUGGCAAAAAAGUACGAAACUUCAAUGUAGGAGACGACGCAUUUCCACUGUGUAUACGUAUUCUAAAGUCUUAGCCAGCCAGCAAAAACCUUUCCACAGAGGAACAAAUUUUCAAUUACCGUUUGAGUAGAGCAAGACGGCGUAUUGAAAACGCAUUUGGAAUUCUGAGUGCAAAAUGGCUUUGCCUUAUAAAGGUAUUAUUUUGGCACCCAGAUCGGGCACGAUCGAUUGUUUCAGCAUUCUGCCUGCUACAUAACCGGCGAAUACUUUCAGAGCUGGAGUGUUUUCGUUCAUCCGACAACAUGACCUAGCCAGCGUAGCCGCUGUCUUUUAAU